rnacentral:rRNA from 1 species
GACGAACGCUGGCGGCGUGCCUAAUACAUGCAAGUCAAACGAAGCUUUUUUAACUGGUGCUUGCACCGACUUAAACAACUGAGUGGCGAACGGGUGAGUAACACGUGGGUAACCUGCCCCAAAGCGGGGGAUAACAUUUGGAAACAGAUGCUAAUACCGCAUAACCACAGAAACCACAUGGUUUCUGUGUCAAAGAUGGUUUCGGCUAUCACUUUGGGAUGGACCCGCGGCGUAUUAGCUAGUUGGUAAGGUAAUGGCUUACCAAGGCAAUGAUACGUAGCCGAACUGAGAGGUUGAUCGGCCACAUUGGGACUGAGACACGGCCCAAACUCCUACGGGAGGUAGCAGUAGGGAAUCUUCCACAAUGGACGAAAGUCUGAUGGAGCAACGCCGCGUGAGUGAAGAAGGUUUUCGGAUCGUAAAACUCUGUUGUCAGAGAAGAACGUGUGCGAGAGUAACUGUUCGUGCAGUGACGGUAUCUGGCCAGAAAGCCACGGCUAACUACGUGCCAGCCGCCGCCGUAA